rnacentral:rRNA from 1 species
AGAAUCAACGCUGGCGGCGUGCCUAACACAUGCAAGUCGAACGAGGAAGUGGAGCAAUCCAUGAGUAAAGUGGCGCACGGGUGAGUAACACGUGACUAACCUACCCUUGAGUGGGGGAUAACCUAGAGAAAUCUGGGCUAAUACCGCAUAAUACCUUCGGGUCAAAGGAGCAAUUCGCUUAAGGAGGGGGUCGCGGCCGAUUAGUUAGUUGGCGGGGUAAUGGCCCACCAAGACUAUGAUCGGUA